CGAUAGUUUUUUUCUCAAAGUUGCCGGGAUGUCACGUGUCCUACUUACGUCAGUACACUCGUAACAACCCAAAUACUGCGAAACGUAUGUUCGAGCAAAUAAGCCAUUACAUUUACUGUUAACCAAAUUCGACACUCUCGUUGACCUCCUCCACAAAAACUCCUCGCUAUGGGGAGCAAAAAAAACAAAAUAAACGAAGAGCGCCACCUGCUGAAGAACACUUAUCCCUCUCGCUUUGCAUCUUCCUCUCGGUCAAAAGUCCCAUCCGCCAAAGUGCAGAUAAUGUCAGAUAAGUGCCUGUAAUGUCAAUGAGUCUCACGAAACGAAGACAGCAAUUUAGAAAUGAUCCAAUUGUUUAGCUAACGAGAUAUAUAUAUUUAUACAUUCGGUGGAGAAAUGCAUUUACUCAAGCAAAUAGCUAUUGCAGCAAUAUAGCUACUUAGUUAGACAAUAAGUUCACAUUUCUGGAAUAUUUCCAAAGAUCUUUGUUUUGAAAAAACGGCUUGCUGGCUAGCGAAGUUACCAGUGAAAACAACUGUUAUAAGGCUGUAUUCGGGACGUCUGAGAGAAACAAACUGUCAGCUACAGCAAGGUUAUCAGUUGUUUCCUGGGCGAGGACAAGACAAGUGCUACAACUUUCUGCAUCAGCUCUUCGAGCUGAGCCAGUCCUCAACCAUGGCAGGUGAUCUGCGUGGUGUAGCAGAGCAGGCCAAGACCCUGAAGCCUCAGCGCUCCCUCCCUGGGACGCCCGUCACUAACCCACUCAAACACUUCCCCAUCGACCUGCGUACAUCCAUGGACGGAAAGUACAAGGAGAUUGCAGAGGAGCUGUUCACUCGCAGCCUGACGGAGAGUGAGAUGCGCACCGCUCCUUAUGAGUUCCCUGAGGACAGCCCCAUCGAGCAGCUGGAAGAGAGACGCCAACGCCUGGAGAGGCAGAUCAGCCAGGACAUCAAGCUUGAGCCAGAGAUCCUGCUCCGCGCAAAACAGGAGUUCAUGAAAAUCGACAGUGAUGCCGACCUGGAGACCGAUGAUGGCUGGAUGAAGGAGAGAGUCUUACCGAUGGAGCGAGAGUACCAGCGUGUGUCAAUAUCAGGGGAGGAGAAGUGUGGGGUGCCCUUCACAGACCUGGUGGAUGCAGCUAAGUGUGUGGUGAAGGCCCUGUUCAUCAGGGAGAAGUACAUCGCUCUGUCCAUGCAGAACUUCUGUAAGACCACUGCCCGUGAGCUGGGGGAGCUGGGAGAGAAACCCCUGGACCUACGCAUCUAUGAGGAGAUCCCUGAGACCCCCGUUGAUGCAGAUGCUCCAGUCCACCCCCCUGUCUCAGAGACUCACCCCUAUGAAAACCAGGUCACCAAGAACAUGCCUGCAGACACAGGGUACAGCUGUAAGAUGGUGGAUGGGGUCAUGCAUGUCUACACCAAGAAGAGCCCCAUGGAGAAGAGUACAGAGUUGGACCUGCCCUACCCAGACCUGAAGGAGUACAUCGCUGACAUGAAUGUCAUGAUGGCUCUCAUCAUCAACGGACCAGUGAAAUCGUUCUGCUACCGCCGGCUGCAGUACCUCAGCUCUAAGUUCCAGAUGCACAUUCUGCUGAACGAGAUGAAGGAGUUGGCAGCCCAGAAGCAGGUUCCUCACCGCGACUUUUACAACAUUCGCAAGGUGGACACCCACAUCCACGCUUCGUCCUGUAUGAACCAGAAGCACCUUCUGCGCUUUAUCAAGCGGGCCAUGAAGAAGUACCCUGGGGAGAUAGUCCACAUGGAGCACGGGCGGGGACAGACCCUCAUGGAGGUGUUUGAGAACAUGAACCUGACCGCCUUCGACCUGAGUGUGGACACACUGGACAUGCACGCGGACCGCAACACGUUCCAUCGCUUCGACAAGUUCAACGCCAAAUACAACCCCAUCGGAGAAUCCAUCCUGAGAGAGAUCUUCAUCAAGACAGACAACCACAUCGAGGGCAAAUACUUUGGCCACAUGAUCAAGGAGGUGAUGGCUGACCUAGAGGAGAGUAAGUACCAGAACGUGGAGCUGCGUCUGUCCAUCUACGGCCGCUCCCGGGACGAGUGGGACAAGCUGGCCCGUGGGCCGUCAAACACCAAUGCGUUACCCUCCUCUGACUGCAGUGAUGUGUACCGAACCAAGAAGCAGCUGGCUUCCAGGAGAUGUGGGAACAUCUUUAUGCCUCUGUUUGAGGUCACCAUCAACCCCCGCAGCCACCCUGAGUGCACCUUUCCUGUGGUGGGCUUUGACAGCGUGGAUGACGAGUCCAAGCCGGAGCACCACAUCUUCAACAUGGACAGCCCCCUGCCAGCCGACUGGACAGAGGAGGACAACCCUCCCUACUCCUACUACCUCUACUACACCUACGCCAACAUGACCGUGCUCAACCAUCUGCGCAGGAGGCGUGGUUUCCACACGUUGGUGCUGCGCCCUCAUUGCGGGGAGGCGGGGCCUGUCCACCACCUGGUGUCUGGUUUCAUUCUGUCAGAGAACAUCUCCCAUGGGCUGCUGCUCAGGAAGGCUCCAGUGCUGCAGUACCUCUACUACCUGGCUCAGAUUGGCAUCGCCAUGUCCCCCCUGAGCAACAACAGCCUGUUCCUCAGCUACCACCGCAACCCCCUGCCUGAGUAUCUGGCCAGAGGCCUCAUGGUCUCUCUGUCCACUGACGACCCCCUACAGUUCCACUUCACCAAGGAGCCCCUGAUGGAGGAGUACAGCAUCGCCACACAGGUGUGGAAGCUGAGCUCCUGUGACAUGUGUGAGCUGGCCAGGAACAGUGUCCUCAUGAGCGGCUUCUCCCACAAGGCAAAGAGCUACUGGCUGGGGCCCAAAUACAGCAAGGAGGGCCCUGAGAGCAACGACAUCCGUCGCACCAAUGUCCCGGACAUCCGCGUGGCAUACCGCAGUGAGACCCUGCUGGAGGAGCUCAACCUCAUCACCCAUGCUGUGCACACCAAGGAGCUGGACAACAUCGACGAGGAAGACACCCUCUCCAUGGCCCCCGUUGGGGCAGAAGGACACUAAAUCAACAACCCCACCCCGACUUCUAACCCCCGGCCCCUCCCUGCAUGACACUGAGGGGCUGCAGUAUGAGUGGACUCCAGCUUGUUGUUUAACCUCUACCUCUUAUCCCCUUAUCCCCCUCCCACUAGGGAAUUGGACUGUGCACUCGUCUCUCAGCUCUCUUGUACUAAAGCCAAGGAUACAAUGCUCCCUGAGUGGCCCCAUCUCUCUGUCAGUGAUGGGGGUGGUCAGUAUGGACUCAUGUUCCAGUCCCCCCUUCUCCCUCAACCCAGGUUCCCUCUUCAACUCUCUCUGG
rnacentral:lncRNA from 1 species